AGCAAAAUUGCUGAGUCAUAGGGUAAUUCUGUAUAACAUUUUGAAGAAUUGCCAAACAGCUUUUCCAAGAUGCUGCACCAAUUUGCAUUCCCACCAGCAGU
rnacentral:pre_miRNA from 1 species